UUUUCCCUAUCGUCUUCUGUCUCAAAACUCUUUUCGUCUGAAACACCUCCCCCAUGAAAGAGUUUUCUGAAACACCUCCACCUCCACCAUGAAAGAUGAACGACGGCUAUGGAAAAUCGAAGGCUUAACAUAAGAUUCAAUCCAGCAACCAUUGCAAUUGAUGUCCAUUUCUCAUUCUACGGAAAUAUAAGACUUUAACAUCACAGGCAGUACAUCUUUGUAGUAACGGAAGGAAAACAAGUCUUUGUUCCCCGUCGUAGCCCUAGAAUCAUAGAGCAAACUCGAAUUCAAGAGUGGAUAGAAACAUCAACGGAACACAUCACUAUAACAGAACUCCGUAGAAGUCCUCGAAUUGCAGAGCAAUGUCGAAUUCGAGAGAAAAUGGAUAUGAUAAAUGAAAGGAAAAGGCAACGUCGCCAUGAUUUGUACCCACAUGAAAGAUCUCAUGAGAUACAACAUCGCCGAAUUCUUGAGAGAGCCAAAUAAAGCUCAAUGACAAUACACGAAAGUGAACCUUUCCUUGAAAAGAAAUGUAAUCAACAUCGAAUUCGGUCAUCACAACAGCGACUCCAGAAUAAAAAUGGGGAACAAGCUGGAACGAGUAAUGGUAAGCCAGAAUAUGUUUACUGUUGAUAUUCUUUCAUUUGCUGUCACACGUAGCCACACGAAAGUAUUAGUUACUAAAGGAACCGUUGCAAAGAAGAAGGGAACAUACACGAAAAAUGUUGUGUAUAAAGAAGUCUUUCUGUCUUAGAAAAAUACGAGUUACAAAUAUACAUUUUUGAUGUAAAAGGACAUUUAUGAUUGAAAAAUUAUUAAAUGAAAAAUUCAAGUUUAAUCAUGAUUACUUUUACA